rnacentral:rRNA from 1 species
AGCGAAAUAAUAGUAGCGAAGUUCCUGAUGUCACACUGCCAAGAAAAGCUUCUAGUGAGAAAACAACUGCCCGUACCGUAAACCGACACAGGUAGUCGAGGAGAGUAUCCUAAGGUGAGCGAGCGAACUCUCGUUAAGGAACUCGGCAAAAUGACCCCGUAACUUCGGGAGAAGGGGUGCUGACUUCGGUCAGCCGCAGUGAAUAGGCCCAAGCGACUGUUUAUCAAAAACACAGGUCUCUGCAAAAUCGUAAGAUGAAGUAUAGGGGCUGACGCCUGCCCGGUGCUGGAAGGUUAAGAGGAUGGGUUAGCUUCGGCGAAGCUCAGAAUUGAAGCCCCAGUAAACGGCGGCCGUAACUAUAACGGUCCUAAGGUAGCGAAAUUCCUUGUCGGGUAAGUUCCGACCCGCACGAAAGGCGUAACGAUUUGGGCACUGUCUCAACGAGAGACUCGGUGAAAUUUUAGUACCUGUGAAGAUGCAGGUUACCCGCGACAGGACGGAAAGACCCCAUGGAGCUUUACUGUAGUUUGAUAUUGAGUGUUUGUACCACAUGUACAGGAUAGGUAGGAGCCGAUGAGACCGGAA